UGAGUUUUUAACUUAGGUUUGGGUGGCGGACGGGUGAGUAACGCGUAAAGAACUUGCCUCACAGCUAGGGACAACAUUUAGAAAUGAAUGCUAAUACCUAAUAUUAUGAUAAUAGGGCAUCCUAUAAUUAUGAAAGCUAUAUGCGCUGUGAGAGAGCUUUGCGUCCCAUUAGCUAGUUGGAGAGGUAACGGCUCACCAAGGCGAUGAUGGGUAGCCGGCCUGAGAGGGUGAUCGGCCACAAGGGGACUGAGACACGGCCCUUACUCCUACGGGAGGCAGCAGUGGGGAAUAUUGGACAAUGGACCGAGAGUUUGAUCCAGCAAUUCUGUGUGCACGAUGAAGUUUUUCGGAAUGUAAAGUGCUUUCAGUUGGGAAGAAAGAAAUGACGGUACCAACAGAAGAAGUGACGGCUAAAUACGUGCCAGCAGCCGCGGUAAUACGUAUGUCACGAGCGUUAUCCGGAUUUAUUGGGCGUAAAGCGCGUCUAGGUGGUUAUAUAAGUCUGAUGUGAAAAUGCAGGGCUCAACUCUGUAUUGCGUUGGAAACUGUAUAACUAGAGUACUGGAGAGGUAAGCGGAACUACAAGUGUAGAGGUGAAAUUCGUAGAUAUUUGUAGGAAUGCCGAUGGGGAAGCCAGCUUACUGGACAGAUACUGACGCUGAAGCGC
rnacentral:rRNA from 1 species